rnacentral:rRNA from 1 species
UACGAAGGGGGCUAGCGUUGUUCGGAAUGACUGGGCGUAAAGGGCGCGUAGGCGGUGAACCCAGUUAGGCGUGAAAUUCCCGGGCUCAACCUGGGGGCUGCGUUUAAUACAUGCUCGCUUGAGUUCGGAAGAGGGUCGUGGAAUUCCCAGUGUAGAGGUGAAAUUCGUAGAUAUUGGGAAGAACACCGGUGGCGAAGGCGGCGACCUGGUCCGAUACUGACGCUGAGGCGCGAAAGCGUGGGGAGCAAACAGG